rnacentral:rRNA from 1 species
CCUACGGGAGGCAGCAGUGAGGAAUAUUGGUCAAUGGACGGGAGCCUGAACCAGCCAAGUCGCGUGAAGGACGACGGUCCUAUGGGUUGUAAACCUCUUUUGUCGGGGAACAAAGGCGCCCACGGGUGGGCGGAUGAGUGUACCCGAAGAAAAAGGUCCGGCUAACUACGUGCCAGCAGCCGCGGUAAUAAGGAGGAAGCGAGCGUUGUCCGGAAUUACUGGGUGAAAGGGGAGCGUAGGCGGGCGUGAAAGUUGAAUGUUAAAUUUUCCGGCUUAACUGGUAGCUGCGUUCGAAACUGCUUGUCUUGAGUGAAGUAGAGGCAGGCGGAAUUCCUAGUGUAGCGGUGAAAUGCGUAGAUAUUAGGAGGAACACC